rnacentral:rRNA from 1 species
GGGCGAAAGCCUGAUGGAGCAACGCCGCGUGAGUGAAGAAAGAUUUCGGUUCGUAAAACUCUGUUGUAAGGGAAGAAUAAGUACAGUAGUAACUGGCUGUACCUUGACGGUACCUUAUUAGAAAGCCACGACUAACUACGUGCCAGCAGCCGCGGUAAUACGUAGGUGGCAAGCGUUGUCCGGAAUUAUUGGGCGUAAAGCGCGCGCAGGUGGUUUCUUAAGUCUGAUGUGAAAGCCCACGGCUCAACCGUGGAGGGUCAUUGGAAACUGGGAGACUUGAGUGCAGAAGAGGAUAGUGGAAUUCCAAGUGUAGCGGUGAAAUGCGUAGAGAUUUGGAGGAACACCAGUGGCGAAGGCGACUAUCUGGUCUGUAACUGGCACUGAGGCGCGAAAGCGUGGGGAGCAAACAGGAUUAGAUACCCUGGUAGUCCACGCCGUAAACGAUGAGUGCUAAGUGUUAGGGGGUUUCCGCCCCUUAGUGCUGCAGCUAACGCAUUAAGCACUCCGCCUGGGGAGUACGGUCGCAAGACUGAAACU